GACGAACGCUGGCGGCGUGCUUAGCACAUGCAAGUCGAGCGGAAAGGCCCUUCGGGGUACUCGAGCGGCGAACGGGUGAGUAACACGUGAGUAACCUGCCCCAGACUUUGGGAUAACCCUCGGAAACGGGGGCUAAUACCGGAUACGACACAGCUUCGCAUGGGGUCUGUGUGGAAAGUUUUUCGGUUUGGGAUGGGCUCGCGGCCUAUCAGCUUGUUGGUGGGGUGAUGGCCUACCAAGGCGACGACGGGUAGCCGGCCUGAGAGGGCGACCGGCCACACUGGGACUGAGACACGGCCCAGACUCCUACGGGAGGCAGCAGUGGGGAAUAUUGCACAAUGGGCGGAAGCCUGAUGCAGCGACGCCGCGUGAGGGAUGACGGCCUUCGGGUUGUAAACCUCUUUCAGCAGGGACGAAGCGUAAGUGACGGUACCUGCAGAAGAAGCGCCGGCCAACUACGUG
rnacentral:rRNA from 1 species